GCCUGGGUGGCUCAGUUGUUUGAGAAUCUGACUUUGACUCACAUCAUGAUCUUGUCGUUCAUGGGUUCAAGCCCCAUGUCGGGCU
rnacentral:tRNA from 1 species